rnacentral:tRNA from 1 species
ACUUUAAUAGCUUAGUGGUAUAGCAUCUGCUUUGUGUGCAGAACACACCAAGUUCAAACACUGGCGUCUAUAUUAAAAGA